UCGCAGCAGAACUAUGAAAACACGCUGUGAACGGUUGCCGAUUGCGGGGACAAGGUACACCUCACAACUGACAGAACGAUUGCCACACGACUGUCGCAGCAGAACUUUGAAAAAACGCUGUGAACGGUUGCCGAUUGCGGGGACAAGGUACACCUCACAACUGACAGAACGAUUGCCAUACGACUGUCGCAGCAG